GGGCGGAUAGCUCAGUUGGGAGAGCGCCUCCCUCGCACGGAGGAGGCCGUGGGUUCGAAUCCCAUUCCGUCCACCA
rnacentral:tRNA from 1 species